AGAGUUUGAUCCUGGCUCAGGAUGAACGCUGACAGAAUGCUUAACACAUGCAAGUCUUUGGCGAAGCUGUGCUUGCACAGCCUAGCCAAGGCGGACGGGUGAGUAACGCGUAAGGAACUUGCCCUGCAGUCAGGGAUAACAGACGGAAACGACUGAUAAGACCUGGUAAAGUCAGGCGGACUCAUGUCCAGCCUGAUGAAAAGAGAUGCUGCAGGAGAGCCUUGCGUCCUAUUAGCUUGUUGGUGGGGUAACGGCCCACCAAGGCGAUGAUAGGUAGCCGGCCUGAGAGGGUGGACGGCCACAAGGGGACUGAGAUACGGCCCUUACUCCUACGGGAGGCAGCAGUGGGGAAUAUUGGACAAUGGGGGCAACCCUGAUCCAGCAAUUCUGUGUGCACGAAGACGGUUUUCGGAUUGUAAAGUGCUUUCAGCAGGGAAGAAGAAAGUGACGGUACCUGCAGAAGAAGCGACGGCUAAAUACGUGCCAGCAGCCGCGGUAAUACGUAUGUCGCAAGCGUUAUCCGGAAUUAUUGGGCAUAAAGGGCAUCUAGGCGGCCAGAUAAGUCUGGGGUGAAAACUUGCGGCUCAACCGCAAGCCUGCCCUGGAAACUAUGUGGCUAGAGUACUGGAGAGGUGGACGGAACUGCACGAGUAGAGGUGAAAUUCGUAGAUAUGUGCAGGAAUGCCGAUGAUGAAGAUAGUUCACUGGACGGUAACUGACGCUGAAGUGCGAAAGCUAGGGGAGCAAACAGGAUUAGAUACCCUGGUAGUCCUAGCUGUAAACGAUGAUUACUGGGUGUGGGCAUGAAGAGUGUCCGUGCCGAAGCUAAUGCGAUAAGUAAUCCGCCUGGGGAGUACGGCCGCAAGGCUGAAACUCAAAGGAAUUGACGGGGACCCGCACAAGCGGUGGAGCAUGUGGUUUAAUUCGACGCAACGCGAGGAACCUUACCAGCGUUUGACAUCUUAGGAAUGAGACAGAGAUGUUUCAGUGUCCCUUCGGGGAAACCUAAAGACAGGUGGUGCAUGGCUGUCGUCAGCUCGUGUCGUGAGAUGUUGGGUUAAGUCCCGCAACGA
rnacentral:rRNA from 1 species